UCUUGUGUUUUCCCCUCCCUGCUGUCUUGGUCUUCUUUUUUUGUCUGUCAGUCUUGUGGGCGUGUCAUCCUGGCUCCCUCUCUCCAGCUCGCCGCCUGCAGCUCCACUCACCUGAGGCUCAUCAGCAAUCAACCCACUCUGUUAAAACCCUGCUCUACAGUCACUCCCUGCUGUGAGAGACCUCAGCCAAGUUUGGAGACACUGCCUGCCAGCCUGGAGAGAGCCCUGUCUUCACGGCACAAUCCCAAAUAAACCAGAGACUCUUGCUCACCCCCAAAUAUUGUACUUUGUACUGGUUGUGUAAAAGUAAGACAUAAGAAUAAAUAUUUCUUUGCUUUUGUUACUUGGUUUUGGCACAGUUGAUGAUAUCCUCAUGUACAAACUGAAGGGUUGGCACAGCCGUUAUCUAGUUCAAGAUUUAUCUAAUGGUCAGAUCAUCCUCAGUUACCCUGCAUGACUCAUCAUUGGGAAGUGUCUGUAGCACAACGGAAAUCAUUACAUAUGCCUACUAGGUGAUGUCACCAGGAAAUCCUUAAUUAGCUAUGCAUAUGAUAUAAACUUUGU